rnacentral:rRNA from 1 species
CCUGACGCGACUCCGUCGAAGUUGACCUGGAAAGGCACGCCGGAGAGGGUGAUAGCCCCGUGCGUGGCGGAGUCGCCGACGGCCGCUACCGUCUUCGGAGAGUCGGGUUGUUUGGGAGUGCAGCCCAAAGUGGGUGGUAAACUCCAUCUAAAGCCAAAUAACGGCACGAGACCGAUAGCGAACAAGUACCAUGAGGGAAAGGUGAAAAGCACUUUGGAAAGAGAGUUAAAGAGGCCGCGAAACCGUUGGGAGGGAAACGCAUGCAUCCGAACGGGCCCUCGUCGGGUUCAGGGGGAUGCGAGGAGUCGUGCGCGUCGACGGCACCCUCGCGGGCCGUCGGUGCGCGGAGACCCCUCGCACCCCUGCACUCUCGGCGGUUGUGGCCGGCCAAGUGCGGCGGGUGCCGGUCGACGAGCGCGCGUCGGGCAGGUAGCGCAGCUGCUCCGGCAGAGGCGAACUUACAGCCGACCGUGCGGAGCGUCCGGCGCCCGCCGAGGAGAGCGGUGGCACUUCCACCCCCGUAGCGCAGGUCCGCUUCUUG